UACGGGGGGGGCAAGCGUUGUUCGGAUUCACUGGGCGUAAAGGGUGCGUAGGUGGUCGGGUAAGUCUGAUGUGAAAUCUCUGAGCUCAACUCAGAAACUGCAUUGGAUACUAUUCGGCUAGAGGAGUGGAGGGGGGACUGGAAUACUUGGUGUAGCAGUGAAAUGCGUAGAUAUCAAGUGGAACACCGGUGGCGAAGGCGAGUCCCUAGACACUUCCUGACACUGAGGCACGAAAGCUAGGGGAGCAAACGGG
rnacentral:rRNA from 1 species